CCUUUUGCUCUUGUGCCCCCCGUCUGCUGGAUUUAUUUUUAUUGAUUUGUGGGCUGUUCUUCUUCUGCAGGAACGAAGACAGUGGUUGUUCCUCUGCUUUUCUCUACUCUUCUCUGUGUUCUGGAUUGCUCUUUUUCUCUGUUUUUUUUCUCGUCUCUGUUUCCAGUGUUUUUUGUUCAAUCUCCUGGGUUGUGCCCCCUGUUGUUCCCUUCUGUCUCCUGCUCUGGUUUUCGGGUCCCCGUUUUAUGCUGGGUUUUUCUUCCUUCACUGUUGCUGGCCUUUUUCUCUGGUUUUUCUUGCUCUGUGUUCUGGGUGUUUCUUCUCUUUUUUGUGCAGGGGUGCCUACCGGGAUGAUGGCAGUGGCGGGGAUAAUUAUCUGGAAAUCUUGGUUUUCUUUCCUUUGUUUUGGCUCCAGUUCUGCCUCUGCUCUGUCGAUUUUUCUGCUCUUAACUCUGUAUUUUUUGGGUUGUG
rnacentral:lncRNA from 1 species